AAGAAAACUGCAGAACCCCAUGUAUUAUGAGUCUGAUUGCUGCCUCAUGGCCUGGAGGAGUGAUUUUAAUCCUACAGGCCUUUUCUUUUAAUGUGUGUGGCUACAGGUCGGCCAGUCACUUUCCCUUUCAGGACAUUAGUAAUAUCUUUAUAGUCAUCCUGAAGCUAGGUGGAGUGGCACAAAGCUAGCAUCCCAGUGCUUAGGAGGCAGAAGCAGGCGGAUCACCGAGAGUUCAAGGCCACCCUGGUCUACCUAGAGAAUCCCAGGACAGCCAGGCUACAUCUGCCUGCCUCAGCCCCCAGGUUGCUGGGGUUAAAGGCAUGAGGCAAUCAGGCUGGUGACCAUCAAGGUACAGGAGAGCGCAUGGAGCCAGACAUGGGGGUUCACACAUGUAAUCCUAACACUAGGGAUCAGAGGCAGGAGGGCCAUGAGUUUGAGGUGGAUCUAACUGCGUAGCUAGACGCUAGCUACAUCCAACAGCGUUGCUAACAGCCCUCACAUUUUUUUAGCCGGGCACACUCUUACUAUACACAAAAACCAUCGUCACCAGUCCGCCCCCACCCCCCACCCCGAGUUAGCCACGAAUGGUUUUCUUCGAGAGCAUUCUUUAAGGAGUCCAGUGUUGAAUGAAAAACAAGGAACCGGCUGUGCUGGGCGGCACAAGGGACGCUGGAGUCCGAGCCACAGACAGAGAAGCUUUCAGCAGGACAGCUGCAGAACUCUCGCUUUUGCCCACACCCUCAACCUCCAGGGCCAUCCGCCUUUGCCAGUGGGUGAGCUCCCAGGAGCAUGACCCUGCUGAGGAGCCCAAGGGACCCUUGCAGUCAUUCCUCGGAACCACAGCAGAAGCUGAGGAGGGUGGGGAUGUCAGCUAGUCUGCCUGGCGAGCAGUGAGUGCUGGUUAUGAGUAAGGACUUGUGCUGUCACUCGGGGGUGAGAGAUGAGUCACACAGUUGCCUUGCCUGUGAGACCUCACAGUUUACUGAGAGAAACAGACCCACCAGCAUCAUGUGCAGGAAGUGCGGUGACCAACGCCUUCUGUUCGGGGCAUCUCCGAUGGAUCUGUCUGCAGGCUCGGUGAAGACUGCGCAGAAGAUGGAGUGUGGAAAGUCACCGGGGAAGGUGUCAUCUGUGAGAACACACACUUAGGAAUCAGAGAUGAUACCAUCCUCAAGACUGGAGGAAGGUCAAGAGGUGGUGCAGCAUUAAUAAGUCCUAAGUAUUGUCACUAAGAGCCGUGCCCCUCAGAAUGCCCUGUUCCUGUAGCAUACAGUCACGCACCAGGGAUUUCAUAAUGGAUGGACAUUUCAGCUGGGGGAAAGCAUGGAAAAAUGACUACAUAUGGUCAUGAGCAGGACAGUGAAUGUACCCCUGGAAAUGACAGUAAAGGUGUGGCCGGUGCUCUGGCUUCUGGUCAUCUCUCUGUGUGUGUGUGUUCUUGCCACCUGUGUUCAGUGCGUUUGGAGGCCAAACGAGGGUACUGAUCUCCUCAGGUUGGAGUCACAGGCGAUGAUGAUCUGGUCCGUCUGGGAUCUGGAACAGAACGUCCGUGGGUUCCCUGGAAGAGAGAAGGAGUCGCUCUUAACCACUGAACCUUCCCUCCAGCCUCUACACUCAGAUCUCCUUAAACACUUGGGGGACCCAAGGAGAUAUGGCCCACAGUGGUUCCGAAGACCAGCAACCAGCAACUGUGACCAGUGAGCACUGCUGUAUUUUGAAACCCUGCAGAGCAAAUCUAGAAUGAAUACUUCCAGGAAGUACAGAUUUCAGCUCUGGGCCUACAGGUGGCUCAGCAAUUAAGAGGACAUACUGCUCCGGACAUACGGCAUCCCACGUGGGUGCCCCCAGCCGCCUGUAACUCCAGCCCCAGGAGGAUCUGAUGUGUUUGGCCUCUGAGGGCACCACUACUCGUGUGCGCAUACCAACACACGCAUACGCAUGGUUAAGAAGAAUCCCUUGUUUUAACAGAUAUUUCAGCCCUGCUGCAGAGAUGCAGCUCAGCUGGUGAGCCAUGUGCUUAACAUGCAAGCAGCUCUGGAUUCAGUCCCCAGGGAAUGAGGAGAUUCAAGUCAACUUCGAGAGCAGUUCAUUUCCUAAUGACCUGAGGGAUAGAAAAAUGAGUGACGCCUGUAACUGCAGCACUUGGGAGGUGGAGGCCGGAAAGUCAGAGUUCAAGAUGAGCCUUGGCUGCAGAGAACGCUUAAGACUAGUCUGAGCUUCAGGAGUCCCUGUCCAAAAGGAAAACCUCUGGGGGAUGUCGCUCAGUGAAAGAGGGCUUGCCUCAGCUUCAUGAGGUCCAACGUCCAGUCCCGGCACCAGCAAGUACAUAAAGGAAAGGAGGAAGCAUGAGAGAAAGGAAGGAAGCACUGAAGGAAGGCCAGAAGAGGUAUCUGAGGAAAAGGACUUGAAGUUUGAGCGGUACGGUCUUUGAGAUCUAUCAGCCGAGCACCGCAGAUACAAAAUGCUGUGUCCAUCUCAUGCAGCAGAGACCCCGUAACCUGCUUAUCAACAGCAGACAGCACUGAAUUCACACCAGCAUGCACCAGCGUGCUCCUGAAAUCGGCCCUGCACCCAGCUUAUCCCUCCCAAGGACUUAUCUCACAUCACAGGAAAGACGGCUGAAAUAUUACCCCAUCUGUCAUGGCCUUACCUGCUCUGGUUUGAAAUGUAAAAUGAAACAGGCACACCCUUUGGGUCUACUGAUAGGGUAUGUGGUGACGUCCAAUAAUAAGGAAUUAGCACCAGAUUCCAGCAUGUCCGAGCUGGGACAAUCUGGAUGAGGUCACUAUCCUACCCCCUCUGCUGAAAGAGACACAAAGAGGAAGGACCCAUCUAAGUAACACAUCACGCCACACUGGACCAACAUCCCCUGCUGCUGGAGUACAUACAGUCUUACCCCUGAGAUCCAAGAAUCCCCCAGCCCCUUUUUCUGUUUACUGAACAGUGAUAAUUUCCUACCAUCUAGCGAUCUCAAAGUUCUUGCUGAUGGCAGCUUCUGGUGCCGAACCCUCAAGAGAGAUACUUUAGGGGAUGGCUCAGUGGUGAAAAGCACGUACUUCUCUGCUCACUCAGGGGAUCCAAACUUGAUUUCCAGCACUUAGAACCAGUGGUUCCCAAAUGCCCGUAACUCCAGCUGCAGAGGACCUGACACCCUCUUCUGGCCUGCAUGAGCACCUGCAAUCACAACAGACAAAAUUAAAUUUAAAGAAAAUAAUAAUAUAUCUUAUUUGCAUUGGUGUUUUGCCUGCAUGUUUGUCUGUGAGAGGGUGUUGGAUCCUCUAGAGCUGGAGUUACAGAUAGUUGCGAGCUACAAUGUGCGUGCUGGGAAUUGAACUCAGGAGUUCUGGAAGAGCAGCAGCUAGUGGUCUUAACUGUUGUACCAUCUUUCCAGUCCACAAAAUUAAAUCUUAGCAAAAGAUCUUAAAAAGGGGCACGUUGUAGGCAGGUGGUGGUAGCACAGGACUUUAAUCCCAGCAUUUGGGAGGCAGAGGCAGGCGGCUCUUUGUGAGUUUUGGCCUCUUUGUGAGGCCAGCCUGGUCUACAAAGUGAGUCCAGGAUAGCCAGGACUGUGCGGAGAAACCCUGUCUCAAAAAAAAAACAUAAAAGAAGAAGAAAGAAGAAGAAGAAGAAGAAGAAGAAGAAGAAGAAGAAGAAGAAGAAGAAGAAGAAGAAGAAGAAGAAGAAGAAGAGAAGCACAAAACAAAACAAAAAAAGGAGCACAAGACAAGGGCCAGUGUUCUAAGACCUUGUCUGAAAGGAAAAGAUGUCUUUAUCCUGUCCUUAUUAUCAAAUGAAAAUCUCACUACAUUCACGGUAUAAAUUUUAAGUCAAAGAGCAAUGUUAGGUCUCAAACCUGGGACAAAUGGCUGAGGUGCCUAUUUAACAUAUCAGAGCAGACCUGGCUGCCAGGUUCUCCCAGCAUCCCUCAGUCCCUAAGGGCAUGCCUGGUGCGCUCCACCCCUAUCCUGAGCUCUCCAGCCCAGGGACUGAGCUGCUUCCCCUCCACCCCACCCUACCCCCAUUCUACACUUUACUCUCUGGCUCUCCCCUCCCCUCACAUUGCCCAGGUCAAAAUAACGUUCAAUCUGGACUCACCUCGAUGUCCCUGCCUCUGGCCAUAGCUACAAUAAACCUUCUCUUUUAACAUA